AACUUUCACAAGUUUUUCUAUGACAAGUGCACUUGUUCAAAAGCUAUAGCAUGCUAGCUUUUGAACAAGUGCACUUGUCAUAGAAAA